GGGAAACAGAUUGGAGUUUUGGUUCACAAAGCCAUCAACUGCUCCACUUCAAGUGCAGUCAUCAACGAGUUGAACAUCUUUUCCCAGCAAUUACUUCACCGAAGUCCAGUCAUCACCUGUGGGUUGUUUGUGUACGAUUGGACGUUGCUUUACACGAUGAUUGGUGCCACCGCAACAUACCUUAUCAUAUUGAUUCAGUUCGACGUAUCGUUUCCAAACGCCGCAAAUCUGAAUGAAACUGCACCGUCUAAGU